UAUAGUUUAUUUGAUGGUCAUUCACUACAUGGAUAACCGUGGUAAUUCUAGAGCUAAUACAUGCGCCCAAACCCGACUUCGUGGAAGGGUUGUGUUUAUCAGAUACAGAACCAACCCAGGCUAUGCCUGGUAUUAUAAUGAUUCAUAAUAACCGAACGAAUCGCAUGGCUUCAGCUGGCGAUGAAUCAUUCAAGUUUCUGACCUAUCAGCUUCCGACGGUAGGGUAUUGGCCUACCGUGGCAAUGACGGGUAACGGAGAAUUAGGGUUCGAUUCCGGAGAGGGAGCCUGAGAAACGGCUACCACA
rnacentral:rRNA from 1 species